AACGUACGCUGGCGGCACGCCUAACACAUGCAAGUCGAACGAAGUAGCAAUACUUAGUGGCAGACGGGUGAGUAACAUGUAGGUAUCUGCCCUUUGGCCUGGAAUAACACGAGGAAACUUGUGCUAAUACCGGAUAAGUCUUUACGGAGAAAGCUUUAUGCACCAUUGGAUGAGCCUGCACUUGAUUAGUUUGUUGGUGGGGUAAUGGCCUACCAAGACUGUGAUCAAUAGCUGAUUUGAGAGGAUGAUCAGCCACAUUGGGACUGAGACACGGCCCAAACUCCUACGGGAGGCAGCAGUGGGGAAUCUUGCACAAUGGAGGAAACUCUGAUGCAGCGAUGCCGCGUGAGUGAAGAAGGCCCUUGGGUUGUAAAGCUCUUUCGUCGGGGAAGAAAAUGACUGUACCCGAAUAAGAAGGUCCGGCUAACUUCGUGCCAGCAGCCGCGGUAAUACGAAGGGACCUAGCGUAGUUCGGAAUUACUGGGCUUAAAGAGUUCGUAGGUGGUUGAAAAAGUUAGUGGUGAAAUCCCAGAGCUUAACUCUGGAACUGCCAUUAAAACUUUUCAACUAGAGUAUGAUAGAGGAAAGCAGAAUUUCUAGUGUAGAGGUGAAAUUCGUAGAUAUUAGAAAGAAUACCAAUUGCGAAGGCAGCUUUCUGGAUCGUUACUGACACUGAGGAACGAAAGCAUGGGUAGCGAAGAGGAUUAGAUACCCUCGUAGUCCAUGCCGUAAACGAUGUGUGUUAGACGUUGGAAAUUUAUUUUCAGUGUCGCAGGGAAACCGAUAAACACACCGCCUGGGGAGUACGACCGCAAGGUUAAAACUCAAAUGAAUUGACGGGGACCCGCACAAGUAGUGGAGCAUGUGGUUUAAUUCGAAGAUACGCGCAGAACCUUACCAACACUUGACAUGUUCGUCGCGACUCUAAGAGAUUAGAGUUUUCGGUUCGGCCGGACGAAACACAGGUGCUGCAUGGCUGUCGUCAGCUCGUGUCGUGAGAUGUUGGGUUAAGUCCCGCAACGAGCGCAACCCUCACUUUUAGUUGCCAUCAUUAAGUUGGGCACUCUGAAAGAACUGCCAGUGAUAAGCUGGAGGAAGGUGGGGAUGACGUCAAGUCCUCAUGGCCCUUACGUGUUGGGCUACACACGUGCUACAAUGGUAUCUACAACAGGAAGCAAGACUGCGAAGUUAAGCAAAUCCCUAAAAGAUACCUCAGUUCGGAUUGCACUCUGCAACUCGAGUGCAUGAAGCUGGAAUUACUAGUAAUCGUGGAUCAGCGUGCCACGGUGAAUGCGUUCCCGGGUCU
rnacentral:rRNA from 1 species